UACGUAGGGGGGCAAGCGUUGUCCGGAUUUAUUGGGCGUAAAGAGCGUGUAGGCGGCUUGGCAAGUCCGCUGUGAAAACUCGAGGCUCAACCUCGAGACGUCGGUGGAAACUGCCUCGCUAGAGUCCGGAAGAGGAGAGUGGAAUUCCUGGUGUAGCGGUGAAAUGCGCAGAUAUCAGGAAGAACACCCGUGGCUAAGGCGGCUCUCUAGUACGGUACUGACGCUGAGACGCGAAAGCGUGGGGAGCGAACAGG
rnacentral:rRNA from 1 species